AGUUGUCUUUAUUCCAGGUGUAAUUGAUCCACAGAGGCAGCGUCAAUGCGUACAGCAGAUCUGACAGUGACAAACUGAAGAGAAUGCUUUCCUGCUGGUUUCCUGAGUAUAGAUUAGAGAUCUGAAACAACAGCUGGUUUCUUUGACGCGUGAACUUUCACACGUUGCACACCAUCUGUGCCUGUCUGCCAAGGAAAAGCAGGAAUGGGGUAUACUGCAGGAGGGCAGAUGCUGGCUGCUGGCGUUAAC